rnacentral:rRNA from 1 species
GCCCGACGGCCUUGGACUUGUUGC